rnacentral:siRNA from 1 species
UCCGAGUGCAUAACAUAUUUUUCC